AUGGAGACUGAUUGCCUGGAGAUUGUUAAUCUCUGAAACACGCGCCACACCAGCCUCUCUGUGGUGGCACCUUUACUUAUAGAAAUUGGAGAGCUAGCUGCUACUUUUUCUUCUUUUGUUAUUCAACAUGUAAUACGAGCAGCCAAUGUACUGGCCCACCUUUGUGCGAAACAUGCGUGCACACUGGUGGUCACCGAGAGUUGGACUGACUCGAGACCCUCCUUCCUGCUCACUAGCCUGUUGGCUGAUGAUGCCAGGAGUUCUUUCGUUGAAUAA
rnacentral:rRNA from 1 species